ensembl:lncRNA
GAAGAGAUGGAACUCACUUGCUGGAUGAGUGGGCGGUUGAAGAAAGGGAUGUGUGCUCAGAGGAGAAGGAGAGGAAUAUGCCUGUUGCUGAGUGCUCAGAGAGGAGAGGAAUAUGCCUGUUGCUGAGUGCUCAGAGAGGAGGAGGAGAGGAAUAUGCCUGUUGCUGAGUGCUCAGAGGAGAAGGAGAGGAAUAUGUCUGUUGCUGAGUGCUCAGAGAGGAGAAGGAGAGGAAUAUGCCUGUUGCUGAGUGCUCAGAGAGGAGGAGAGGAAUAUGCCUGUUGCUGAGUGCUCAGAGAGGAGGAGAGGAAUAUGCCUGUUGCUGAGUGCUCAGAGAGGAGAGGAAUAUGAAUAUGUCUGUUGCUGAGUGCUCAGAGAGGAGGAGGAGGAGGAGAGGAAUAUGUCUGUUGCUGAGUGGGCAGAGAGGAGGAGGAGAGGAAUAUGUCUGUUGCUGAGUGCUCAGAGAGGAGGAGGAGAGGAAUAUGUCUGUUGCUGAGUGCUCAGAGAGGAGGAGGAGAGGAAUAUGUCUGUUGCUGAGUGCUCAGAGAGGAGGAGGAGAAAUGGUGAAUAACGGAACACAGCUGGAUCUGAGAGGGGAAGAGAUCACUGCACCUCACAGCUGGAUCUGAGAGGGGAAGAGAUCACUACACCUCACAGCUGGAUCUGAGAGGGAAAGAGAUCACUGCACCUCACAGCUGGAUCUGAGAGGGGAAGAGAUCACUACACCUCACAGCUGGAUCUGAGAGGGGAAGAGAUCACUGCACCUCACAGCUGGUUUCUGUGGCAGCAGGUUUGGGUUUAUACAUGCAGUGGUGAUUUGAUGAGUGACUGCCUGAGUGAGAGUGUGUUUGUGUUAGAGAGGCACAUGGUUUUCAUUGGUCUCUCCUGUGUUAGUCUCUUGUGGUCGGCAGUAAGUCCUCAGACUGGCUGAUAACCUCAUGAUGAUACAUCCUACUCUCCUUACCUACACAGAUAACCUGUUGACAUCAUUUUCUUUUUAAACCUUUAUUUAACUAGGCAAGACAGUUAAGAACAAAUUCUUAUUUACAAUGACGGCCUACUCCGGCAAACCCGGACGAUGCUGGGCCAAUUGUGCGCCGCCCUAUGGGACUCCCAAUCACGGCCAGAUGUGAUACAGCCCGGAAUAGAACUAGUAUCUGUCUGUAGUGAUGCGGUGCCUUAGACCGCUGCACCACUCAGGAGCCCUAACUGAAGUGGAACAGAACCAGUGUUUAUGUAACAGAUUUUCUUUCCAAAAUGGUUCCCUAUUCCCUACAUAGUGCACUGCUUUUCAACCCUAUGGCCCCUGGUCAAAAAAAGUGCCUUAAACAGGAAAUAUGGUGCCGUUUUGGACACAGUCUCUCCUAGACCAGAGGCAGAUAGCAUCUAGGGAGACGCCACUCCACGGUAGUUGGUUCCACUUACAGAGCAAAUGUGUGUUUCCCUGGGUUCAAAUACUAUUUAAAAUCAUUUCAAAUACACGAUCUGGGCUUGAUUGAGCUUGCCUGGCACAGUGGAACCAAUAGAAUAGUUGCAGGCGGUCAAACCCCACCCAUCUGGAACUCCAACAUGUUAGAGAGCAAACGCUAAAAGUCUUUGAAAUAUUUCAAAUAGUAUUUGAACCCUGGUGCGCAUUCUACAGUAUUGUAGUGUCUAGCCCUUGCUGCCUGUCUUGAAGCAUUACGUGACUCAGUAGUACAAGUGAGUGGGUGCAUAACUGUGACAGAGGAACAACGGAACUAGUACCUACCUGUCCUCUACCUUUUAAGUCUGUUGCCCCUAGCAACCAUGAUGCAAGACUCGCAGAGAACAUGUCAUCUUGUCUGUAGCAGUACUGUACCACACAGACACAGAGCCCUCUCCAGUUUCAACUGGAAGGCACCUGUUCCCUCUCCUCCACCCAGCCAUGACACCCUAUUCCCUACACAGAGCCUUAUGGGACCAUGUCAACAGUCAGGUACCACACCUGUGUUCAGGUAGGGAGAAGUUGCCCCUAGAUGCUGUUGUUGGGUCAGUUUGGCAUUUUCCCUACUUCUAGUUAAAGAUAGGACUGUGGUAGGUGAAGCUGAUUCUAGAUCUGUACCUAGUGGUAAACUACACCCAGAAGCACUGGUAGCCCAGGGUCGUAUUCAUUAGUGCAAACAUGUUGCAACAGGAAAUGUAAUGAAAGGAAACUGAGAUUCUUUCCUAUUGGAUAAGUUCAGUUUCUGUCUGUUUUCUUUCAUUUAGUGUCUAGUGAAUACGACCCAGUCCUGGGGAGCCUUGUCCAGUCACUAGCUGGUUUAGUGAAUACGACCCAGUCCUGGGGAGCCUUGUCCAGUCACUAGCUGGUUUAGUGAAUACGACCCAGUCCUGGGGACCCUUGUCCAGUCACUAGCUGGUUUAGUGAAUACGACCCAGUCCUGGGGACCCUUGUCCAGUCACUAGCUGGUUUAGUAAAUACGACCCAGUCCUGGGGACCCUUGUCCAGUCACUAGCUGGUUUAGUGAAUACGACCCAGUCCUGGGGACCCUUGUCCAGUCACUAGCUGGUUUAGUGAAUACGACCCAGUCCUGGGGACCCUUGUCCAGUCACUAGCUGGUUUAGUAAAUACGACCCAGUCCUGGGGACCCUUGUCCAGUCACUAGCUGGUGUACGACCCAGUCCUGGGGAGCCUUGUUCAGUCACUAGCUGGUUUAGUGAAUACGACCCAGUCCUGGGGAGCCUUGUCCAGUCACUAGCUGGUUUAGUGAAUACGACCCAGUCCUGGGGAGCCU